rnacentral:rRNA from 1 species
AUUGAACGCUGGCGGCAGGCUUAACACAUGCAAGUCGAGCGAGCGGCGGACGGGUGAGUAAUGUCUGGGAAACUGCCUGAUGGAGGGGGAUAACUACUGGAAACGGUAGCUAAUACCGCAUACCAUCAGAUGUGCCCAGAUGGGAUUAGCUAGUAGGUGGGGUAAUGGAUCACCUAGGCGACGAUCCCUAGCUGGUCUGAGAGGAUGACCAGACACAAUGGAACUGAGACACGUGCCAGACUCCUACGGGAGGCAGCAGUGGGGAAUAUUGCACAAUGGGCGAAAGCCUGAUGCAGCCAUGCCGCGUGUGUGAAGAAGGCGUUCGGGUUGUAAAGCACGUUCAGCGAGGAGGCGUUACUCGCAGAAGAAGCACCGGCUAACUCCGUGCCAGCCGCCGCGGUAAUAC